CGGGACUGGCGGGGCU
rnacentral:tRNA from 2 species